ACAACUUUCAGCAACGGAUCUCUUGGCUCUCGCAUCGAUGAAGAACGCAGCGAAAUGCGAUAAGUAAUGUGAAUUGCAGAAUUCAGUGAAUCAUCGAAUCUUUGAACGCACCUUGCGCUCCUUGGUAUUCCGAGGAGCAUGCCUGUUUGAGUGCAUUAA
rnacentral:rRNA from 1 species